GGCCGUGCCUUGCUGCACGCAGUAAACCACAGCCAUGUCUUCGGAUUCCGAGAUGGCCAUCUUUGGGGAGGCGGCUCCUUACCUCCGAAAAUCGGAAAAGGAGAGAAUUGAGGCCCAGAACAAACCUUUUGAUGCCAAGUCAUCUGUCUUUGUGGUUCAUGCAAAGGAAUCCUAUGUAAAGAGCACAAUCCAGAGCAGGGAAUCAGGAAAAGUCACUGUCAAGACUGAAGGGGGAGAGACCCUGACAGUGAAGGAAGAUCAAAUCUUCUCCAUGAACCCUCCCAAGUAUGACAAGAUCGAGGACAUGGCCAUGAUGACCCACCUCCACGAACCCGCCGUGCUGUACAACCUCAAAGAGCGUUACGCAGCCUGGAUGAUCUACACCUACUCAGGUCUCUUCUGCGUCACUGUCAACCCCUACAAGUGGCUGCCCGUGUACAACCCCGAGGUGGUGUUGGCCUACCGAGGCAAGAAGCGCCAGGAGGCCCCUCCACACAUCUUCUCCAUCUCUGACAACGCCUAUCAGUUCAUGCUGACUGAUCGGGAGAACCAGUCCAUCCUGAUCACCGGAGAAUCCGGUGCUGGGAAGACUGUGAACACAAAGCGUGUCAUCCAGUACUUUGCAACAAUUGCAGCCAGUGGGGACAAGAAGAAGGAGGAGCAGACAUCAGGCAAAAUGCAGGGGACGCUUGAGGAUCAAAUCAUCAGUGCCAACCCACUGCUGGAGGCUUUUGGAAAUGCCAAGACCGUGAGGAACGACAACUCCUCACGCUUUGGUAAAUUCAUCAGAAUCCAUUUUGGUGCCACAGGCAAACUGGCUUCUGCUGACAUUGAAACAUAUCUGCUGGAGAAGUCCAGAGUCACUUUCCAGCUCAAGGCGGAAAGGAGCUACCACAUCUUUUAUCAGAUCAUGUCCAACAAGAAGCCAGAGCUAAUUGAGAUGUUACUGAUCACCACCAACCCCUAUGACUAUCUGUACGUGAGUCAAGGUGAAAUCACAGUUCCCAGCAUUAAUGACCAGGAGGAGCUGAUGGCCACCGACAGCGCCAUUGACAUCCUGGGUUUCAGUGCUGAUGAGAAAACAGCCAUCUACAAGCUGACAGGGGCUGUCAUGCACUACGGGAACCUGAAGUUCAAGCAGAAACAACGAGAGGAGCAGGCAGAGCCUGAUGGCACUGAAGUUGCUGACAAGGCUGCCUACCUGAUGGGUCUGAACUCAGCAGAUCUGCUCAAGGCCCUCUGCUACCCCCGCGUCAAGGUGGGGAAUGAAUACGUGACCAAGGGCCAAACUGUGCAGCAGGUAUACAAUUCAGUGGGUGCCCUGGCAAAGGCUGUCUUUGAGAAGAUGUUCCUGUGGAUGGUUGUUCGCAUCAACCAACAGCUGGACACGAAGCAGCCCAGGCAGUACUUCAUUGGUGUCCUGGACAUUGCUGGCUUCGAGAUCUUUGAUUUCAACAGCCUGGAGCAGCUGUGCAUCAACUUCACCAAUGAGAAACUGCGAAACUGCAACAGUUCUUCAACCACCACAUGUUCGUGCUGGAGCAGGAGGAGUACAAGAAGGAGGGGAUUGAAUGGGAGUUCAUUGACUUUGGCAUGGACCUGGCUGCCUGCAUUGAGCUCAUAGAAAAGCCCAUGGGCAUCUUCUCCAUCCUGGAAGAGGAGUGCAUGUUCUGACCAGCACCUGGGCAAGUCCAACAACUUCCAGAAGCCCAAGCCUGGCAAAGGCAAGGCUGAAGCUCACUUCUCCCUGGUGCACUACGCUGGCACAGUGGACUACAACAUCACUGGCUGGCUUGACAAAAACAAGGACCCUCUGAAUGAAACUGUUGUGGGGCUCUAUCAGAAGUCAUCCCUGAAGACACUGGCCUUACUCUUUGCAUCUGCUGGAGGAGAGGCAGAGGCCAGUGGUGGUGGUGGUGGUGGCAAGAAGGGAGGCAAGAAGAAGGGUUCUUCUUUCCAGACCGUCUCAGCUCUUUUCAGGGAAAAUCUCAACAAGCUGAUGACCAAUCUGCGGAGCACUCACCCCCAUUUUGUGCGCUGUAUCAUCCCCAACGAGUCUAAAACACCUGGUAAGAACCCCAAGCAGAGAUAAAAAAUAGUGUGAUGCAGCCAUUAUUCUCUAUGUUUUACCAUUAAUUAUCAAAUAAUUGUCUUAUUGCUUAGGUGCCAUGGUGCCAUGGAGCACGAGCUGGUGCUGCACCAGCUGCGCUGUAACGGCGUGCUGGAAGGGAUCAGGAUUUGCAGGAAAGGCUUCCCCAGCAGAAUCCUCUAUGCUGACUUCAAACAGAGAUACAAGGUGCUUAAUGCCAGUGCCAUCCCCGAGGGACAGUUCAUUGACAGCAAGAAGGCUUCUGAGAAGCUCCUUGGCUCAAUUGAUGUGGACCACACCCAGUACAAAUUUGGACAUACCAAGGUGUUCUUCAAAGCUGGGCUGCUGGGACUCCUGGAGGAGAUGAGGGAUGAGAAGCUGGCACAGCUCAUCACCCGCACUCAGGCCAGGUGCAGGGGCUUCCUGAUGAGGGUGGAGUACCAGAGAAUGGUGGAGCGCAGGGAGUCCAUCUUCUGCAUCCAGUACAACGUUCGUUCAUUCAUGAAUGUCAAACACUGGCCAUGGAUGAAGCUGUUCUUCAAGAUCAAGCCCUUGCUGAAGAGCGCAGAGUCUGAGAAGGAGAUGGCCAACAUGAAGGGGGAGUUUGAGAAAACCAAGGAAGAGCUUGCAAAGCUGGAGGAGAAAAUGGCAUCUCUAAUGCAGGAAAAGAAUGACCUGCAGCUCCAAGUGCAAUCUGAAGCAGAUGCUUUGGCUGAUGCUGAGGAAAGGUGUGACCAGCUCAUCAAAACCAAAAUACAGCUGGAAGCCAAAAUUAAGGAGGUGACUGAAAGAGCAGAGGAUGAAGAGGAAAUUAAUGCUGAGCUGACAGCCAAGAAGAGGAAACUGGAGGAUGAAUGUUCAGAGCUGAAGAAAGAUAUUGAUGACCUUGAGCUAACACUGGCCAAGGUGGAGAAGGAAAAACACGCCACCGAAAACAAGGUGAAAAACCUGACUGAGGAGAUGGCAGCCCUGGAUGAGACCAUCGCCAAGCUGACCAAAGAGAAGAAAGCCCUCCAAGAGGCCCAUCAGCAGACCCUGGAUGACCUGCAGGCAGAGGAGGACAAAGUCAAUACUCUAACGAAAGCCAAGACCAAGUUGGAACAGCAAGUGGAUGAUCUGGAAGGGUCCCUGGAGCAAGAGAAGAAACUGCGCAUGGACCUGGAGAGAGCAAAGAGGAAACUGGAAGGAGAUCUGAAGCUGGCCCAGGACAGCAUCAUGGAUUUGGAGAAUGAUAAGCAGCAGCUGGAUGAGAAACUGAAGAAGAAAGACUUUGAAAUCAGCCAGAUCCAGAGCAAAACUGAGGAUGAACAAGCCCUGGGCAUGCAACUUCAGAAGAAGAUCAAGGAGCUGCAGGCGCGCAUUGAGGAGCUGGAGGAGGAAAUUGAGGCAGAGCGAACCUCUCGCGCUAAAGCAGAGAAGCAUCGGGCUGACCUGUCCAGGGAGCUGGAGGAGAUCAGUGAGCGCCUGGAGGAAGCAGGAGGGGCCACAGCAGCUCAGAUUGAUAUGAACAAGAAGCGUGAGGCAGAGUUCCAGAAGAUGCGGCGGGACCUGGAAGAGGCCACGCUGCAGCACGAAGCCACGGCUGCCGCCCUGCGCAAGAAGCACGCGGACAGCACCGCUGAGCUGGGGGAGCAGAUCGACAACCUGCAACGUGUGAAGCAGAAGCUGGAGAAGGAGAAGAGUGAGCUGAAGAUGGAGAUUGAUGACUUGGCCAGCAACAUGGAGUCUGUCUCCAAAGCCAAGGCCAACCUGGAGAAGAUGUGCCGCACACUGGAAGAUCAGCUCAGUGAGCUUAAGACCAAGGAGGAGCAGAAUCAGCGCACGAUCAAUGACCUCAAUGCUCAAAGAGCUCGUCUGCAGACAGAGUCAGGUGAAUAUUCACGCCAGGUGGAAGAGAAGGAUGCUUUGGUUUCUCAGCUGUCAAGAGGCAAACAGGCUUUCACCCAACAGAUUGAGGAACUCAAGAGGCAUCUGGAGGAAGAGAUAAAGGCCAAGAACGCCCUGGCCCACGCCCUGCAGUCCGCUCGCCACGACUGUGACUUGCUCCGGGAACAAUAUGAGGAGGAGCAGGAGGCCAAGGGGGAGCUGCAGAGAGCCAUGUCCAAAGCCAACAGCGAGGUGGCUCAGUGGAGAACCAAAUACGAGACAGACGCCAUUCAGCGCACGGAGGAGCUCGAGGAGGCCAAGAAGAAGCUGGCCCAGCGUCUGCAGGAUGCAGAGGAACAUGUUGAGGCUGUCAAUGCCAAAUGUGCCUCCCUGGAAAAGACAAAGCAGAGGCUGCAGAAUGAAGUGGAGGACCUGAUGAUUGAUGUGGAGAGAUCCAAUGCUGCCUGUGCUGCUCUGGAUAAGAAGCAGAAGAACUUUGACAAGAUCCUGGCAGAAUGGAAGCAGAAGUAUGAGGAAACACAGGCUGAGCUGGAGGCCUCGCAGAAGGAGUCGCGCUCUCUGAGCACGGAGCUGUUCAAGAUGAAGAAUGCCUAUGAGGAGUCCUUGGACCACCUGGAAACAAUGAAGCGGGAGAACAAGAACUUGCAGCAGGAGAUUUCUGACCUCACCGAGCAGAUUGCGGAGGGAGGGAAGGCAAUUCAUGAGCUGGAGAAAGUGAAGAAGCAGAUUGAGCAGGAGAAAUCUGAAAUCCAGGCUGCUCUGGAGGAAGCUGAGGCCUCCCUGGAACAUGAGGAGGGGAAGAUCCUGCGUCUGCAGCUUGAGCUCAACCAAGUGAAGUCUGAGAUCGACAGGAAGAUAGCAGAGAAAGAUGAGGAGAUUGACCAAAUGAAGAGAAAUCACCUCCGAGUUGUGGACUCCAUGCAGAGCACUCUGGAUGCUGAGAUCAGGAGUAGGAAUGAAGCCCUGAGGCUGAAGAAGAAGAUGGAGGGAGACCUGAAUGAGAUGGAGAUUCAGCUGAGCCAUGCAAACCGCCAGGCUGCAGAGGCACAGAAGAACCUGAGAAACACCCAGGCAGUGCUGAAGGAUACUCAGAUACACUUGGAUGAUGCUGUCAGAGCACAGGAUGACCUGAAGGAGCAGGUGGCCAUGGUGGAGCGCAGAGCAAACCUGCUGCAGGCUGAAGUUGAGGAGCUCCGGGCAGCCCUGGAGCAGACGGAGAGGUCAAGGAAAGUGGCUGAGCAGGAGCUUCUGGAUGCAAGUGAGAGAGUUCAGCUCCUCCACACUCAGAACACCAGCUUGAUUAACACCAAGAAGAAGUUGGAAACAGACAUUUCCCAGAUCCAAAGUGAAAUGGAGGAUACCAUCCAGGAAGCCCGCAAUGCUGAGGAGAAGGCCAAGAAGGCCAUCACAGAUGCGGCCAUGAUGGCAGAAGAGCUGAAGAAGGAGCAGGACACCAGUGCCCACCUGGAGAGGAUGAAGAAGAACCUGGACCAGACAGUGAAGGACCUGCAGCACCGUCUGGAAGAGGCCGAGCAGCUGGCACUGAAGGGAGGGAAGAAGCAGAUCCAGAAGCUGGAGGCCAGGGUGCGGGAGCUGGAAGGGGAGGUUGAUGCUGAGCAGAAGCGCAGCGCUGAAGCCGUGAAGGGCGUGCGCAAGUACGAGCGGAGGGUGAAGGAACUGACCUACCAGUCUGAGGAAGACAGGAAGAAUGUCCUGAGGCUGCAGGAUCUGGUGGACAAGCUCCAAAUGAAAGUGAAAUCCUACAAGAGACAAGCUGAGGAGGCUGAGGAGCUGUCCAAUGUGAACCUCUCCAAGUUCCGCAAGAUCCAGCAUGAGCUGGAGGAAGCCGAGGAGCGGGCUGACAUUGCAGAGUCACAGGUCAACAAGCUCCGAGCCAAGAGCCGGGAGAUUCAUAAGAAGAUAGAAGAAGAGGAAUGAGGCUCCCAAGACUAAAAAGUGACCUGAGGCAUGCAUAAAAUGUAAACCUCUGUGUUACUUUCUUUAGUUAUAAUUUUUGUGUAGGUAAUAAAGACAGUAGAGACCCUUGCAUAUGAACAGUGA